ACGCCAGUAGUUCAAUUGGUAGAGCAACGGUCUCCAAAACCGUCUGUUGAGGGUUCGAGUCCUUCCUGGCGUGCCA
rnacentral:tRNA from 7 species